rnacentral:rRNA from 1 species
ACGGAGGCAGCAGUGGGGGAUAUUGCACAAUGGGGGAAACCCUGAUGCAGCGACGCCGCGUGAGCGAAGAAGUAUUUCGGUAUGUAAAGCUCUAUCAGCAGGGAAGGAAAUGACGGUACCUGACUAAGAAGCUCCGGCUAAAUACGUGCCAGCAGCCGCGGUAAUACGUAUGGAGCAAGCGUUAUCCGGAUUUACUGGGUGUAAAGGGAGCGUAGACGGUUUGGCAAGUCUGAUGUGAAAGCUGGGGGCUCAACCCCCAAACUGCAUUGGAAACUGUCAGACUAGAGUGUCGGAGAGGUAAGUGGAAUUCCUAGUGUAGCGGUGAAAUGCGUAGAUAUUAGGAGGAACACCAGUGGCGAAGGCGGCUUACUGGACGAUAACUGACGUUGAGGCUCGAAAGCGUGGGGAGCAAACAGGAUUAGAUACCCUGGUA